rnacentral:misc_RNA from 1 species
GAAAUGCGAUAAGUAAUGUGAAUUGCAGAAUUCAGUGAAUCAUCGAAUCUUUGAACGCACCUUGCUCUCCUUGGUAUUCCUUGGAGCAUGCCUGUUUGAGUAUCAUGAAAUCUUCAAAGUAAAUCUUUUGUUAACUCAAUUGGUUUCUACUUUGGUAUUGGAGGUCUUUGCAGCUUCACACCUGCUCCUCUUUGUUCAUUAGCUGGAUCUCAGUGUUAUGCUUGGUUCCACUCGGCGUGAUAAGUUAUCUAUCGCUGAGGACACUGUAAAAGGUGGCCAAGGUAAAUGCGGAUGAACCGCUUCUAAUAGUCCAUUGACUUGGACAAUACUUUUAUGAUCUGAUCUCAAAUCAGGUAGGACUACCCGCUGAACUUAAGC